rnacentral:rRNA from 1 species
CCUUUGACGUUAGCGGCGGACGGGUGAGUAACACGUGGGUAACCUACCUAUAAGACUGGGAUAACUUCGGGAAACCGGAGCUAAUACCGGAUAUAUUUCGAACCGCAUGGUUCGAUAGUGAAAGAUGGUUUUGCUAUCACUUAUAGAUGGACCCGCGCCGUAUUAGCUAGUUGGUAAGGUAACGGCUUACCAAGGCUACGAUACGUAGCCUACCUGAGAGGGUGAUCGGCCACACUGGAACUGAGACACGGUCCAGACUCCUACGGGAGGCAGCAGCG